CGAAGGAUCCAAGCGUUGUCCGGUAUUUACUGGGUUUAAAGGGUGCGUAGGUGGAAAAUUAGUCAGAGUGAAAGCUGGUAGCUUAACUAUCAAAUUGCCAUUGAAACUGAUUUUCUCGAGUACGGUUGAGGUAGCUGGAAUGUAACAUGUAGCGGUGAAAUGCUUAGAUAUGUUACAGAACACCGAUUGCGAAGGCAGGCUACUAAACCGUAACUGACACUGAGGCACGAAAGCGUGGGGAUCAAACAGGAUUAGAUACCCUGGUAGUCCACGCUGUAAACGUUGCAUACUCGGACUUAGCGAUAUACAGUUAGGUCCUAAGCGAAAGCAUUAAGUAUGCCACCUGGGGAGUACGGUCGCAAGAUUG
rnacentral:rRNA from 1 species